UUCAUCUGUGGAAUUUUUUUUUUUUAAGUAGUCUCCAUGCCCAUCAUGGAACCCAGUGUGGGGUUUGAACUCAAUACCCUGAGAUCAAGACCAGAGCUGAGAUCAAGAGUCAGACACUUAACCAACUGAGUCUACCAGGCAUCCCUCAUCUGUGGAAUUUUGAAUGUUUCAUCUAUUUUCUUCUGCAGCCUUUUCAAUUAUUUUUCUGGAAGUGAUGUUCACCAUUUGCAUUUCUGAUCCCUGGUGGUGGUGUCUACUAUCCAUGCUACUCUGACACUCACUCACUGCUGCUCUCCAGUGUCCCAGCUCUGAGGUUGUUCUCCCUUUACCCUUGUGAUUCCUGUCCUUUUUCCUCUCGGAGAUUUCUAGCUAAGGGAAAGGAUGGUCCCUAUUCUCACUAGUCCUAAGGCAGGCUUGGCCUCCUUGGUUUCUUGCAGCCCCUUGAUGUUAAUACUUACUAGCCUUUCCCUUUCUCUUGUAGAUCUCUUUCAAGGUCCCCAGAAAUUGGUUGGAAAGCAACCAGUGUGGACGCUAAGAAUGCCAUAUUCACAAAUAUUUCUCAUUCCACUUGUGCCAACCCGUGGGCCCAGCCAGACCUCAACUGCUGUCUCCCAACUCAGAUUUCUUUAAAACUUUGUCAGACUCCUAAGAAAUGUACAGGCUGAUGCGAGUGUACAUUACUGGCUUCCAACAGAAGAACCUAUGCAGCAGAUUAGAAGGAUUCAAGAGUGGGAGAUAGAUACAGCUUCUCUCCAGGAAGCUCUUCCCUGUAACUAUACCAUCCUUUAUUUCUCAGGCCGAGCCUUGGGGAUCUAGAAACAGUGCUGUGAUCUGACAUUAUCACUAAGUUUCUUUCCAUGUACCCUGUGUACUUGUUUAUUAAUAUUCUUUAUUAAAUCUUUCUAGAAUAAUCAUAAUUGGAGUAUUCAUUCUAUUUCCUAUUGGGAGCCUGAAAGAAAA
rnacentral:lncRNA from 1 species